AUGCUGCCAUCAUGGGUGUUUGUUGUAGAGAGAUCGGGGGAUUUUGUUGUUGUUGAGAAAAGGACACAUACACCUCAUGUAUUCAUCCAGCAAACGAGACGGUACAUAUGCGUAUAUGAGAACAGUACCUUCAUUGGAGGAACCGAACGGGUGAUCUAUGUGUUUUCGUCUGCAAUUGAUUGGCUACAACAACAAAAAACUCUUGAUUUUUUGGUUGAAAUAAUUUAUAAAGCUGUCGGAUGCACUGCUACUAAUCUUCCUUCAGCCAGAUAUCUCACUCAUCUUGAUCCUCCAAGUCAUUUUUUUCUUAGUCAGGUUUUAUGUUUAGACAACUAG
rnacentral:rRNA from 1 species